CCCUUAGAUGUUCUGGGCCGCACGCGCGCUACACUGAUGCAUUCAACGAGCCUAUCCUUGACCGACAGGUCCGGGUAAUCUUUGAAUCUGCAUCGUGACGGGGAUAGAUUAUUGCAAUUAUUAAUCUUCAACGAGGAAUGCCUAGUAGGCGCAAGCCAUCAGCUUGCGUCGAUUACGUCCCUGCCCUUUGUACACACCGCCCGUCGCUCCUACCGAUUGGGUGUGCUGGUGAAAUGUUCGGAUCGGCCGUUUGUCGCGGUUUCCGCGGCUCGUGGCUGAGAAGUUCAUUAAACCCUCCCACCGAGAGGAAGGAGAAGUCGUAACA
rnacentral:rRNA from 1 species